GCUCCACAGAAAGCCACCUCCCUAACCACUACUUACUGCUUUCUCUUUUCGAGUUAGCCUACACCCAAAGCCACUGUCAGAUGCCACAGGGAUGAGACUUCACAAGAUCUUUAUUUUGGAAAACUGGAAAAUCCAUAAAAUCAAGAAGAAGAAAAAAGGCCUAUAUUUCUUCCAAAGAGAGAUAUUGGUUCUUCCAAUCCCCAACUCUCACAUACUUCAUAUUUCCUCCUUCCAGUGAAAAAGUACAAAAGCUCUAAUGCAUUUCAACUUGUCCAAAUGGGCCUUCAGUGUGGAAGAUGACCUUAGUCUCUCAAACAGUCUCAUCAGUUCCAAUCCAUCGGUUCAGAAGCCUUUUCUCCUACAAAAAAAUAUGAGGAUUCAUGCUCUAACAACUUGAAAGGUCAGAACACCCUGCAAAUUACUACUGAGUCUGACUCACGGAGCCCGCUGUCAUGGAGUUAUAGAGAAAUGCAAGUCCUCUUCUUUUUCCCCCAAACCGUGAACCAAAGCAGCUUGAAAACUUAAAAGCUCUUUGCUCCCUACCCUGAGGGAGUAACAGCGUCACGGGAAUCUUCCCACCAAGUCCUCUGAAUAAAGUUUUCUUUCCUUCGCCUGCGAGGCGAAUAUGGCCCCAGAUGCUCAGGUCCUAUGUGAACUGAAAUUAGUAACCUCUGCAAGCGCUGCGUUAUGGUCCUCUGG